UCACUUCACAUUCACGUUUGAGGGCUUAUAUGGGGCUCUGCCGGUUCGCCGGCUAUGACGAUAAAUUGCAACGUGCAAUAGAUGCAGCGGACCCGGGGGCGGUACCCGGCGGCUCCACCAUCACCCGCCUUGAAAAGGGCAACCCUGUUGUCGCAGGGGUGAUGACGGGGCCGAACUAGGAUCGACGUGUGUUGAAAAGCGGUGUUUUCGUCCGGGCUGAGUAACCCGUUAAAGGCUCAAAACUCACAAGUGCCAACGACAACGAAGCACUCGCUCUCGCCGCGUAAUUCUAGGGGCUAACGCCCUGAAGUUACAAAGCUAAAGCGCGGUUGGACCCACCGGGCAACAGAAGCGGAUUCCAGGGGCCCGGGGUGAGCCUGGCAACAGAAUCACCCCACC
rnacentral:tmRNA from 1 species